UGUGUCACAUAUUAAAUAAUAGUCAUUGUACCUUUGUGUGAUUGCGCGUGUGCACUUUGCUCGGUUGAGGCCAUUGUAGUAGUGUUUCAUUUUUAUCACCCAAGCUGAUAAUAUCCUUCUGGUGUAUUCUGAUAAAACUGGGAGAGGCAGGACAAAUCUUAGAACAGUGAAGCAGCAAGUUAAAGUCCUGGAUUUUAUAAAAGUGUCCAGCUAUUACCAGAAAAUAUGUAAAUAUAAAGAAAAAAAGUGCUCCAACUGCUGUAAACAGGUCUGCAAUAUAUGAUCCAUUUUUUAAGAUUGUUAAUCUGUGUUGUAUACAUUUAGCUCAUUCCCAAUGUAUGGGUCAGGGCCCCCUUUCAAAGUACCGCAAGAUAGACGGGAGAAGGUUACUGAGGAAAGAAAGAAUUAAAAACAAUGUUCAUGUACACAUUUUUAUUAAUUGUUUGGACUUUUGUGCUCAUAUCUGAAGUGUGAGUCUUGUAAGGCGUCAUCGGCAUGAAAAAGUGCUUGAAUCUGUAAUAAACCUUGUGUUUUAUAAGCUUUGCCGUAGGUUUUUAAAAACAAAACAGCCAUGUUUAAAGUAAUUUGUGAUCUUAACCUGUAGUGUUUCAGUUUAGUCAUUGUUCCCUGGUUUUUGCAUCAUUUCGUCUAUUAACUUUUUUGUGUGUUUUUAAAUAAUUAUUUUCAAUCUGCAAAUUACCUGCUCAUAGUGACCGCUUGGAAACAGCAGUGCCGUAUAAUAUGUCUUAUGAAAAAGGGAAAGGGCCAGUGUAACACUUCAGUAAUAACCCUGUGAGUGUCAGCAGUCUGUAUGUUAUGUCUGGUUUUCUUGUUAGUUUGGCCCUGAGGCUGUGUUGCCUCGAGAAGGAGGGUGAGACACUCGAGCGGGGAGGAUUUGGAGUUAUUUUGAAGACAGGAUACCGAGACGACGAGUGUUGAAUAGAUAAGGCUUGCGGAGUGAACACAGAGUACGCCGAGGCAGGAAACGGGGCUGCGAGUUUUACCCAUGCAGAAAAGAUGGAAGACAGUAUAUUCCUGAGCAAGCUAUGGAAUUUGACAUGAAUAUUUAUUUCUGAGGUCGGAGUGAAGUCAUUUCAGUUUGCCUGUUUCAGGGAUUUGUUCUCGUGGGGUUUUAAAUGUUGGGAUUUGCAGUGCAGGAGACAUUGGGUGACUUUCAGCAGAUCAAAAAAAGAAGCACAGCAUUGUUGCAUGUCGGAAUAAACAAAAAUUGCAUGUUGUAUUGAGCAGUUUUCACACUUCUACAGCAGGACUUUCUUUGUCAAAGUGUCAGCACAUGCAGUUAUAAAUCUAAUAUAUGCUGUUAAACUAAAAUAUUCUGUGUGGUAAAUGCAGUGUUGUAGCAGUGGCUGGAUUGGUGAACCGCAUUCGGUCGCUUACUAAAAGCACACGACCCUGAAUUGAAAUCGGUACCUGGAAAGGGUUUCACAGGAAUCACAAGCCAUGAUUCUGAGUGGAAAUGUUUGGCCGAGUUCAGCCAAACUCCCAGAAUGUGUGUCUGCAGCUAAAAUGUUUCGCCUUUAAUCGCAUUUACUAAUAUUAAUGUCAGUGUUUAUGGUCUGCUGCAGCUGAACAAACAACGAGGGAACGCUGCUAUGAUGCUGAUAUUCAUCUACAAUUAAUUUCAGACGGGUUGGCCCUGAGGGGAUGAAGCUUGUCUGAGUGCGCGAAAGAUAAACAGCUCAUUCACAAGCCAUCCUUUCUGCUGCGCAAUACAAAUGAAUCUUCCGCAGCUUUUCAUGCUCCACGGAGUCGAUCUAUUUAUUAAGCUACUUAGUCGCUGUUUGUGCUCAGUGCAGUUUCUGUUGGGGAAAAGCACGCCAUCCAUCAAUAUGAUCCCCCAACGUAAUUACCUACACAUUAAAGAAAAUAAAGUAGUUGACUACAUAUGUCACGCUGUCAGGGAGAGAACAUAUUAAGCUGUUUACUUAGUGCAGGAGCAUUAACAAAAAAUGCAAAAUUUCCUUUUACACUUUCUGCGCUCAGCCAUGAAAAUCAAGUGGUUGCUCCAAAAUCUCUUGUCCAACUUCUCAUCCAUUAAGCUGAUAUUUGAUUGAAUGUCUGACUUUGUUUGUACACAAAGUUUUCUCUGGAUUAGAUACUAUGUGCUGUACAGCAGAAAGAAGAUGGAAAAAAUGCAUCCUGAUGCUUAAAGCUGCUGUCCGGAGUUUGAAUCGCAGCAUCUCCCAAAACGCUGGUGGUCCCACCCUCCCUCCCUCUGAUUUCGCCCCUUUAUUUGUGCACGCGCGCAGUACAUGAGAGAAGUGCCCGGAGUGCUGCAGCAUCUCGCCUGUUUUGCUGUUUUCCCCUCUUCUACAUUUAGUACAUUUAGUAAAUAAUAAAGGAAUUACGUUAGAAUGCUGUAUUGAGUCUAGCUUGUCCUAAUACCAAAAUAACAUGAAUCUGUUAGGACGAACGAGUAAAGUUUCAAUAUGUGAUUACACUCGUGUAUCCCUCUCGAUGACGUUGUUUAUCAAACUUAGUGCAUUUACGCGUGUAUAUGUGUUACAUUGUUUAUUUAUUUCUAUCUAGAGUUCAGAAUUGCAUGACUCCUCUGACGAAGAGUAUGUCCCAGACGCCCCAACAUCUUCCUCCAGAGGUCGGGCAUCUAAACGAAGCCGUCAGGCGGGCUAUGGAGGCCAUGGUCGGGGAGCGAGGCGAGCACCCCGAGCCAAAAAACGUCCUGCAGUCUCUUGGCCUGACAAGCCGUGGGAUUGGUAACUUUUCUGGAAGUUGCUGAUCCCUGAUGCUCUCUCCUCCACAAGCAAAACAAAUGUGCGCGCGGUUGCGUAGUGCGUAGCUCGCCCACCUCUGCAUGGGCUUGCUUGCUGUGCGCGUAACCGUUGAUUGACAGCAUGACAAAGCUGAAGCUCGAACUUGAUUGGUCGGCAGCGACCGGCGCUUUUUGGAAGAACAUGGGGGUCUAUGAGAGGAAGGCGGAGCUCAGGAAUAAAUUUUCAUAUCGCGUUAUACUAACUUUAUAUUAUAGUAUCGAACUAGACUAACACAUUUAAGCUUUGUUAAAAAAUGAUACAUAAAUUGAAAACAAACGGACACUCCGGACAGCAGCUUUAAUUUAGACACAGAACCAAGUACCCCUGACUGCAGCCCGCAGAUCGGGGCGUGCCUCAACGUGGGCGGAGUUAAACGUUGAGCUCCGCCCACCUUGAACUAAACGUGGGCGGAGUUAAACGUUUAACUCCGCCCGCAUAGCGCAGUUGAACCGUUGAAGAAGAAGAAGAAUGUAUUAGAGAAGAAGAAGAAGUUUCCAAAAUGGAGGACAAUGCAGCCAGUCUCCAGUGGGUUCUGCUUCCUAUUUGUACCUGGACACUGGAUACUCUAUACUGAGGCCACAGGCUAGAGAGAUUUUCUUUCUAGAUCCCCUCUGUGGCAGCGGCUGGAGAGAUGAGAGUAGAGUCCAUCUAGUCAGGUUUUUAGAACACCUUCCAAGAUCCUCCCUGGACAGUGGUAGUUCUGUUUUAAACCACUUGUCCUUUGUUUGUUUAAUAAAUGCUUCUGUUUUUAUUUGAAUGCAUUAAAAUGUUCCAAACAAACAAAAACAAACAACAAAAGUGAGUGUUUGUGAGGGAUAGAAGUAAUUGUUAUAUUAUUCUUAUUUAUUUUUACAUUAUUCUACGCAGAUGGAAACAGAACCAUAUGUUUUGUUUGUUCAAGCCCAUUACAAAAACGUUUGAUUUGAAGUUCCAGCCUCUUCCAACUUUGUUCCAAGUGUUGCUUUAAAAUGGUUUAUUGUACUUUUAUUUACUCUUUGACCAGGCACAUUGCUCACAUCUCCUGGCCCUUGGAGGCAGCUUGGUGUGAAUGAUGUUCAGGAAAACAUGCUGCAGAUUAGAAGAUGGUGGUGUCUUGUUCUCCUGCAGAACUUCCCCAUGCCAUCUGAAGAAGAGAGAUUGCAGCAAAGAAAAAGGCAACAAGAGCAGAAAAAACUACAGGUGAGAGGUCAUGUGAUAAAUUGGUAUAUAGUGAAACUAUUGCUCGAAGACUGAUCCCCACCACUUAUUUCAGUAUGUGGCUGAAGUCCCCCUGAAAAUGUUUAGGCUUUCAGAAUCUGCCACUGAAGCAUCAGGUAUUGUUCCAGCCAGCAUUGUCUCACACAUAUCCAUCAAGGUUGUUGAGGUUCGAUGUCACAGAGCAGUCAUUAUUUCUCUGUGUACUUAAAAUCAACCACUUAAAUCUUGCAUUGUCAUUGUGCCUGUAGACACCACAAUCUGUUUCCUUUCUAGAUGAGGCUGAGAACAGGACUGGGAACAGGAAACGGGGUAUAUUGCCUGAGAUGGGUAGUCUAAUUUCAGUGUUUUCUGCAAUCUCCGAGCCUUUACUUAAAUAACUGUUUUCUUUAUUUUUGUUUAGGAGAAUCCUUUGAUCAGGGAUGCAAUGGCAGCAGCCUGGUGGUGUGGGACCAGAACUUUCAAGGGAAAAAUUUCCCUUCCCCAAGUUGUUACCAUGGCCAAGGAGCAACGCGUGAGGGCAGUGGAACUCCUUUAUGUCUGUGAUGACCAGGAAGAAGAGGAGACCGCUGAUCUCAGAGAACCGUUCCUUUUUCUUUUUAGUCUGCAGGAAGACUAUGAGACAUUCUGUCAAGAAAUCAUUGACAGGAGAAACAUGAAGGUGUUUUGUGCUUUUGACAGAAAAGAAUAAAGUUGUGUUCAACGGUG